rnacentral:lncRNA from 1 species
UGCAGAUUAAAAAUACUUGUGUUGGCAGUGGGCAGAGCCAACUAAGGCAGAAGUACAGCUUUUGCUGCUGAUCUAGAGGGAUGAGGCAUUUUGCCCUGCUGAGCCUACCUUGCCCAGAUACUAAGGAAUUCAGUUGCUUGGAGACCUGCAUCUCGUUAUCUGUGCUGAAAGGCCAGAUCUAAAGUAGCAAGUGCACGUGGGAAGAAAAUGAGAAAGACAGGCUUUGUCUUCCUCCGAUUUGUUGGCUGCUCACCCAUCCCUUAAAAAAAGUCUUGAAUUCCUUUCUGGGGGCAUGUCGAUGUAUGUCAACGGGGGAGCAGAGAAGUCAAAGGCAUCGCUGUAGCAAGCAAGUUCUAAACCUCAAUCAUGUCAUUGAUCCACCCUCAAAUGCCCUUUCCUGCGAGUUCCUCGUGGCAAGGUAAAUACAGUUAUUUUUUCUGACUUCUCACUGUUAGAUAUUACACACAGUCUCACAGAAGUAUAGUCAGUAUCUCCAGUGUAGUAUACGCUGUACCUAUUCUAUUGGCUAGCAUUCAGCAAGUUUAAGUCAAUUCCAAUCAUUUUCCAACUUAAGUGCCAGGGAGCAUUUGGUGCCGUACAGCAUAACGCCAAUCUGAAAAGGACUGUUACAGGAGAUUAGCUUGUAGAAACAUCAUACUAACUGAGGGUACAGAAAUAAAAGGGAAAUCAAAGCAAGAUUGAAGGUUAAA